CUUUCUAAAAAGACUUUGUUCACCUCUUCUUCAUCUUUAUACCCCACUUCUCCAUUCCCUUCUUUCUCUUCUCCUCCCACCUCUGUGCUUAGGGCCCUGGGCAAUACCUGACAAGCAUUCAGAAACUAAGCCCCUACAAAAAAGCAGCAAAAUUAAGUAUCUGAGAAAAGCAGGCCCAGAACCAAUAAGGUCUGAUUUCACUGUAGGUUACCUCAGCCAAGGCAGUGCUGUGUCAGGGGAGGAAGAUGCUUGAAAAACCUCCACAGGAGAAUUAAUUAAAUGAAUUUCACUCUGCCAAUUGUUUGUUAUUUUUGCUGACCUCACCAAGUGGAUUAAUAUUUAAUUAGCCUUUAGGAGAAGUGGAAAGCACUUAUUAACCUGUUAUGUCAAUCUGUCAGGCCUGGGGUCUCAGGACAGGCGCUGUUACCACGAAACAAUAGAAACAUCAAGGUCUGGUUUUCUCUAUCUCGGCUGUUUUCUCCAUUGUAAAGUGGCUUUUUUAGGGGGGACACACAAGGAGGGGACCCUCUAUGUCUAACUGAAGGAUGUCUAAAAUGAGUGCCCAAAUCUAGUUGUAUUUCAGUGGCCAGGGCAAGAGCUAAGGAAGCCAUAUGUGAUGUCCCAGGCACAGGUGGGAAGCACAUAUGGAUAUAUGAUCCCCUUGGAGGUAUUUUAGAGCUCAGGCUAGAUCUCAUCUGCUGUGAUGCUGAUAACUAAUGAAAGGUUUGGGCUUCCUUCAUUUUUUCUUGUUUAAAAACACUGCUUCCUUUUUAUUGUGUUCACGGUUAUCAUAGUUCAAGCUCUAAACUUGGUGUCAGAAUCUAGUCAUCAGUGGGGAGAUGUGUUGGGGCUCUGCAAGAUACAGAGGUCCUAGGGUAUUCCACACUCCACCAGCACACCCAACUAGCAUCCACACCCUGGUUUUGCCAUCUAACAAGGCCAUGGGAGAGAUGCCAACCACCACAAGAGCCAACUUUCCAUCACAGGUAGAAAGCUUCAGCAGACAGCAAAAAUGACAAACCCUAUUCAGGAAAAUACAGGGCUGGCAGUGGGCAUGGGCUCGUGAGUCCCUUUCAGUCCCUGCAUGCAGGAGGUGAAACCAGCAAGCAGAGGCAGGAGCAGGAGCGUUUGGAGGCAAGCCCUGAGCAUGCAGCUUCGCACCGGCUGCCAAGGAGCUGAACGAGCACCUCCACACCUUCCACGUGUCCUGCGGCAUAGCUGGUGCAGCGUCUCCAUCUCCAAGUGACCUCAGUGGCCAUGCUGCGAAGGGAAGGGCAGAAGAACAGGCCCCCCAAGCAAGUCCGGUUCCAGCUCCCCACCAGGGACUGGCGGGAGGAGCGUGAGUGGGAGAGGAGGGAGGCUGCUGCCACCCAGCUCUUAGCGCCAGCCGAUCCAUUGACUGGUUCCCUGUGCGACGGGGUGGAGUAUGGACAGAUCGUCAAGGAUAGCCAGCCACCUCUCAGCCAGAAAUGGGGCAGACUUCUGCGUUAUCUGUGUGGACGCAACAAGGAGAGGGUGACCUGUGAAAAGAAGA